rnacentral:piRNA from 1 species
UGUGUUUCUUUAGUGAAACCACCGCGA